rnacentral:misc_RNA from 1 species
AUGCACAUUUGUAUGUGUAUCAGUUUAUAGCAUAUGUUGUAGUACUAAAUUUACAGAGUGCAUUACAUGUAUGUGGUAACAAACUUGUCUGUGAUUUUUGAAAUAAAAUAUACGUGUAUACGUAAAAGCAGUGGCGUGAUGGUUCAUGAAGGAGGUAAAUUUACAGGACAAGCAUUAAACAGACAAAUUGUUUUGUUGCUAGAUACACCAUUACCAAAUAAUCCAAGGGAAAAGUCUCUGCACGGAGAUAAACCCAUGAUCUAGACACUGGAUAGAGAAAGCUUUGAUAAAACUUUGUAGGGAUGUGAUAUGGUUUGAAAAAUUAUGUAUGUUUACCAUUUGUAUGUGUUUUGUUAAUUAAUAUUUCAACAAAUAAUAAUUAAUAACCAUAGAAUUAGCUAAUUAAAGGUUGCAUUUCACAA